GACGAACGCUGGCGGCGUGCCUAAUACAUGCAAGUAGAACGCUGAAGGAGGAGCUUGCUUCUCUGGAUGAGUUGCGAACGGGUGAGUAACGCGUAGGUAACCUGCCUGGUAGCGGGGGAUAACUAUUGGAAACGAUAGCUAAUACCGCAUAACAGUAGAUAUCGCAUGAUAUCUACUUGAAAGGUGCAAUUGCAUCACUACCAGAUGGACCUGCGUUGUAUUAGCUAGUUGGUGAGGUAACGGCUCACCAAGGCGACGAUACAUAGCCGACCUGAGAGGGUGAUCGGCCACACUGGGACUGAGACACGGCCCAGACGCCUACGGGAGGCAGCAGUAGGGAAUCUUCGGCAAUGGACGGAAGUCUGACCGAGCAACGCCGCGUGAGUGAAGAAGGGUUUCGGAUCGUAAAGCUCUGUUGUAAGAGAAGAACGAGUGUGAGAGUGGAAAGUUCACACUGUGACGGUAUCUUACCAGAAAGGGACGGCUAACUACGUG
rnacentral:rRNA from 1 species